AGCAAUACUGCACUGGUAAGGUAUGGAUCCGAAGCCUCUUGAAAGUCAACAAAGGCUCUCCAUACCCUACUUCGACUCAAUACGUCCCCGGCGUAUAGAAC
rfam:Anopheles maculatus strain maculatus3 cont1.25772, whole genome shotgun sequence.